CUGAAACAAACAAAUUCUUAAACUAACUGCUUCUAAUGGAAGAAAUGAGAAAAACAUGGAUCAUCUUAAACUGUCAUAUUCAUGCAGUUACAAAAUUAUAUUUCCAUCAUUCCAUGUCAUUAUAUUAAAUGAAGAAAAUACCAGAAUCUUAGGCUUUUUGUCCUUUUCUAUAGAAUAGAAUAAGAAACUAGAUAAUGGAGAGUUCACAAAAUAUUAGCCAACUACACAAAAGAUAGUGAUGUCCCACAAAAAUCUGAACAUAAUCGGUCCCCAACAUCAGAGACAUUGACCAGAAUCCAGGAUUUUCAGGCCUAUCUCGUGUUUCUGUAACUAAAGAGAGGAAAUAAUCAACAAGAGAUCCCAUGUCUAUUCAGAGCACAAACUGGUUAAAGAUUAUGAACAGUAGCUACAGAAAGAGGUGAAUAAAUGAAUGCGACUACUUUUUCUUUUUCUUUCCCCCCCUCUAUCUUACAUUUCUUGUAAAUAAGAGUUGUAUUUUACAAAACAAAAUUGUGGUGGAGCUGCAAAGGCCACAGCUAGUUUCUCUUACAUUCUCGAUUAGAAAGAUCUUAGCUUUAAGCAAAUAAAAUAAAAUUGCACAAGCUUAUACAUCAACCUUUUCCAAGCAACCCCACUCAGUUCCCUGUAUGAAAAUUUCCAUUUUGAAUGAAUUAAUGGUACCGCAUGCAGAAGUAAAACCUGCCCCUCCGAUCAUAGCUUUUCUUGGGACGUGCCAGAACUACAUGAUAGAUCAUUUCCAUUCAGCAAUGUUACAAAACUGAGGCAGUCAAAAGAAUGUAGACUGCAAUAUAGCAGAAAUCAGAAGAAUGCAGCAUCAAGAUCAUCAAAUAAUUAGACCAAGCUUCGAAUGUUGCUAUUCCAAACCCCCAGUUGUACUGUGUUGGAUGGUCCACCACAUCUGACGAACAAAAUGUAAACCACAGUCCACAAAAUGACCUAUCAGUAUGGAAUUACAUAUGGCAGAGCACAGACAUCAGCUGAUUCAAUCUGCAAAGCUUCUGACCAUACAUGGGGUGCCUCAUCAACCCCAAAAGAACCCAUCUUGGGCUUCUUUGAUUGAGAAUCUCUACCUUGAAAAAGCCACUCUUGGUCGUCAAAAUCACACCACUCUUCAAUUUUGGGCACUGUAAGCACCUCAGUUAGAUACUUGGUAUCAGGAUGGGGUUGUUUCCUAAACACUUUAGCUAUUUGAUCAGCCUGUGCGGUCGUGAGCAAAGACUUUGCUGUAGGAAUGGACAGUGGCUGUGUUGCUGAGGCGAUAGAUAAUGCCUGAGCUUCUAUUACACCAUUUAUCUUGCAUUCUUUACCAUCAACCUUAAGAUUAUUGACCGCCCUAUGCCUAUCAGAUAUCAAUGGAAUAGAAGUUUGAGGAGUUUCCAAUAUCUUUCCAUUUUCCAUCAAUGGAUGAGAGGAAGUAGGUCUUGGCAUCUUACUGGGCUUAAUGUCAUUAGCAUUAAAGAAUCCGUUUGUGUCCGAGUCCUUUCGUUUCCUUGGAUUUCCCUCAGUGACACCACUCUUAGUGUUCUCCUUGGGAAGAUGAGAAGCUUUUGCAUUAUGGAUAGCUGUAUGGUCUACCUUGUUGUUUUCUUUUAAUUUAUCCAGCUCUGGAAUUUUAUGUUCAUUUUUCUUCUUUGCUUUCUCCUCCUUUUUCUUUUCUUUGUCCUUCCCUUGGCCUCCUUUCCCCUUAUCUUUAUCCUUCUGUUUAUCGCCAUGUCGAUCAUCACCUUCUUUUUGUUUGUUUGUUUCUUUCCCUUCAAUCCUUUUCUCAAAAUCUUUCUCCAGUCGUAUUGGUGUUUUAUCAAUUUUAGUCUGAACAGUUCCAGGAAGGAUAGAAGCUAUUGCCUUUCCAGAAAAUCUUGACUCAUCCCUGAUUCCUUGCUCAUCCAACUUCCUAUCAUCACCCCUCUUGUUCUUUUCCUUGCUAUCGGCCAAAGUCCCAGUAGUGUUAGCCACAAAUCUGACCAUUCGCUCAUCCUUUCUAGCAUCCGCACUAAUGAUGUUCUCACCCAACUGUUUUCCGAUUCCUCCGACUUCAUCUCUUGUCCUCCUGCUCACCUCAUGUACAAAAUUAGACUCCUUUGGUUGCUCAGUGAGAUGGCUGUUCUGAGAGGCCCUCUCACUGUAACCUGAAAAUUGCCCAGAAAAUUUCUUUUCAUCUGAGAUACUUUUUCUGUCUAAGUCUCUUUCCUUUCCCUUUUGGAUGAAUAUUUCUCCACUAUUAAUCUCAGAUUUCCCAGAAAUUUUCUUCUCAUCUGGGGUUUUAUCUCCAAUGUUACGUUCAGAUUGCCCUGGAAGUCUCUUCACAUCUGGGGCACUAAUUUUGUCUUUAUCCUUAUCUCUGUCCCUCUCCUUUUUGCCUCUGUGCUUAUCCUUUUUCUCUUUCUUAUCCCUAAGCUUUCCAUCACUUCUAUCUUUUUCCCUUUUUUCUUUAUCUUUACCUUCUCUCUUUUCUUUGUUCUUCUUCUCCUUCUUAUGCUUCUUCUCUCUGUCCUUUUCCUGAAAGUCAUGGAAAGCAAACCAUUCAACUGAAGAGCCAAACAUGAUGGAAUCUCAGCAGUAUAUUACAAUGCAUCAAGCAGGUAUAUCACAUACCAUAUUAAAUUUAAACUCAUAAAUUUCUACCCAAAGUUUAAUUUAAAAAAUUGAACAACUUACGUUCAAAUUUUUUUCAAAUUUUUUACUAAAAAUAGGGCAUUUUAGUAUCCAUUACACAUGCAAGUAAACUGAUUUGCAGAAAAUUUUUCAUAAAUCCAAAACUGGUCACACACACAACCCAAGAUAUGCUAAUGUCAGACACCAAAGGAUCACCUUCGUUGGAUCAAGCAUCAGGCCAGAGUUAAAUUUGAUCUCAUAUUCAAUUUGGGAUUGUAAAGAGAUUCCUUUCAGAUAAUUGAGAAUAAAUGAAUGCUGUUUGUAAAGAGCAUUCAUUACAAAAUCAUAUAACUGUGCGAAUUGAAACCAUCAUAUAAUGUCAAGAAGUGCCCAUGGAUUUUGUUGGAUGUUGCUUAUGGACCUCAUUAUGGCUACAAUGGAAAAGAACCAAAUCCAUAUGCAAAAUACAUCGUCCUUCUUAUCCCAAACAAACAAGCUGAAAAAGAAUGCUUUCCGAUUUCUUGAGAAAGUAUCAAAGUUGAAAGCGAAGUACCUGAGCUCAAACUUGAUUUUUCAAAUUAAAAAGUUCAGCAAUCAUUCACCAUGUUACAAUUUUAGGUACACCCCAAAAUGACUCACAUAGAAUUCCUGAAGAAGCCAAAUAUGAAGCCAAAGAAGACAUUUUGGUUAAGUAAUCUUAACUUAAAGAGAUGAGGGGAACCAGCCAGAAACAUAGAAAAUAAGAGGAAGGGAUUCUAGUUAUCAAGACACUAAACAUGUUGAUUUCGGUGUUGCUCAGAUCAAUUUUGUUAUACCCAGUGUUACUAUAAAUCACUGAACCCCUAGCAAUUAGCAAAUAUGAAUGCUAAAGUUAACAUUCAAUUUUACAAACUUUUAGAGCUUUUAUCCCUAUUUAGGAUUGUGCAAACAACCAUAACUUAGUUGUGAUAAGGCCACAACCAUGGGCAUGAAGUCUGAGACAUUUCCACGUGCAAAGUUUAAAAAAUUUUCCCUCAUCUUCGCUUUACUUUUUGCAAACAAUUUCAUACAAAAUAGAUCUCAAUCUAUGUCCCAAAACCUUAGAAUCUCCCUUUCAAAACUCUAAUUUACCUCACAAUCAAUGACAAUAGAAGAACCAUAAAAGCCCUAAUUAGCAUUCAUAAGUAUCAUUCCCCAAAACUCAAUUGCUCGUUACUCUCAAGUUGUUCCUAUCAUAGAUAGCUCCUUAGAAGAACUAGCAAAUUGAAAAAUUAAAUUCAUGACUCUAAGGAAAAUGAGUUGACCCCUUCAUAAUAACAAGAACAACAGUGAAAAGUUAAUAAACAUGGCAAGUAGCAAAAUGACAGAGCUGCAAAUGAUAAAGCAAUCAAAUCUGUGGAUAAUAAAAGCCUAAUUUAUGCAUGACAUUACCAAAUAUAAUUCUAAACUUGGUUUUAAGAAACUACAUAUCUUCAAAGAACAAGUUACUGAUGCCCUAACUCCUAAGUGAACACUCCAAAAUCGGGCUGCCCACAUACGAGGCAUUAAACACCAAAUUCCAAUAUGAUAACUCGGCAGAUAAAUGUCAAAAUUAUAGAUAAGAAAGACGAUAAAGUCAUGAAUCACUCAAUGUAAGAUAAGAGCCUAGUCCUGCCUAUCUAAAGCAAGGAACAAGAAUAUCAUGUUGUCAUCUCAGCCCACCAUUAUCUCUGACAGUGUCCAAACUCCCAGUUUAACUCUUCGUUCCCAUACAAUUAAAACCUUGUCUGUUCUUCAAACAGAACCUAUGAAUAUGAAUGCAGUUGAAUCAGCAAGAAAAAAACCACUUUUGUACUCUCAGUUAAAGCUAUUGCCUAAGCAAUAAUGCAUGUAAUUGAAUUUAGGACACAACAGUAGAGAUUUUCAGAGGAUAGUUAGCAUGUAAUGGAAGUCACAAACUGAAUGGGGUCGUUUGUUUCAAUCCAAUGCACAUUAAAACAGAAUUUCUUUCCCUAACGAUAAAAAAAUCCAUGCCAAUAUAUAACAAUACAAAAAAUAAGGUGAGCAUUUUAACCUUUUUUAGCAAGUCCACAUCAUCUCUCAUAACCUUUUCAUAUCCUGGUGGCGGAAAUGGAAAGCAACGCGACAUUGCACAGAAUCUCAGAAUACAAAACUCGAGCAACUUCCCCAAAAGAAAAUGCUUGUAUUACUUUCCAGUAGCACUGUUCCAAAAAGGGAACGGACCAGUAACUAUGCUCCUGCCCAUGCACCAUGUCCCCGCAUUCAUUUCCUGCAUCAAAACUGCUCCAUGAGCUUCUCGAUCCCUCCCAACAACAAAGAUACCAAAAUCCACCAACCCUUUAGUAUACUUCACCAAAAUGCACACAGGGUAAAGCAAAAUUCAUUGAGAAACACGUUAAUAUCAAAGGUCACCACUACUUCCACUAAAUCAAACCUACUAUAAUAUUACUACACUGCAAUAGUUCAAGAAAAGCACGAUUAGAAAAGUAACUUUCAUGAGAAACGAAAUUGGUCCACUACAAUCUGAUCUUCUAUGUUGCUUUCUGGGCCAAUACAGAACAAUCACCUUCCUUUCCUUAUAACCAAUAACAAAUACCCAAAUCAUCCCCUAGUUGAAGAUCGAAACACACAAAGCAGCAAGAACCCUUAUCCAUAACAGAAUACCCAAUUCUUGGUUACUGUCACACUAUCCAA
rnacentral:misc_RNA from 1 species